AGAAUUCGGUCUGUGGUGCUCGUUUUGUGUGGAGCUGGAUAAAGAAUUUGAACUGCGCAGGCAGAGAAAAAGAAACAGAUCUCCAUUGUCCUUGUUCACCCGUGUGCUGCUCUUGAUCUGAAAUGCAGGCAAUAAUGUGAGGAUCCAUGCUGUUUGUUGUCCACGCUGCAGGCAGCUCCCUUCUUGGAGGUUUAUGCGGUCAAGCUCUGGCUGAAAGUAGGUUGGCCGGUGGCAAGAUUGCUCCUUGAACCCCAUCACUCAAGCAUGGUUGGAGGAGAAGCAUGCAUAUCUCCCAAGUGAGCCUCAGCUUCCAAACAGUCAAUAAGACUUACACAGACAUGACUGUCUACAGGAUCACAGGCUAAGCCAGAGCACCAGCCUGAAACUCUCCAGGAUUCUUGACCCAGACAAAUGAGUUCCUGUUAAGACUUCCUGCCACCGUUACUGCGUGAUGCUUGGAUUUUCUUUCCACAAGGAAAAGGAAUCAGAACAUGACAUAAAAUGUUUGGGAAAUAUCAGUUACCUAUAUGUCCCAAGGAGAUGAGAGAUGUCACUUCAGUGCCUUAAACUUCUAUAAAUGAACCCUUAGAAUAUUUGUUUUCAAGAUACUAUGCUGAAUACUAUCCUCACACACUGUAUCAACUACAGCAGCAAUCAGAUUGGAUGCUAAUAUUUUAAUUACUUCAAUGGGAAUAAAAGACUGGUUUAAUUUCUAUUCUUAAUGAGACAGUACCUGUAAUGAAGUCUCUAUCUGAUUCUCCUUUGGAAGGGGAUGUUGGAAGACUAGAAGAAAUCAUCAAGAAGACCAGGGACCCUGUUCCUGACUGAGAAGACUCCACUCCUCCAUCCAUCGCCUCCCUCAGUCUCAGUGUGUGUCUCAGAUUGUUGGCCGUAAUCCUCAGACAUCCUGCAUCAAAUCGCCAGACAUCCUGCAUCAACUGAUAUCUAAUUUUCUUGCCAAGUUUUGUGUUAAUAUACUAGGAAAACUGUAGAUUGAUUGCAAUAGCUUUAU